GAGGGUAGUCUUUAUUUUGGUAAAACUAAAUCAAGAUUUUUAGAUCUCCUCUUUCUCUCUCUCUCUUCCGAUCCAAGUAAUCUCCUCGGUGUGUUCAACAACAGUCUCGAGCGCCGACAAUUUACUUCAACAUAAUCUCGAUCUGAGUUUUUCUCGCCUCAAGAUCCGAUAUCAAUUUGCUUCCACUUCCAAUUGAUUCAGUAGCGUUCUGAGCAUCCUUCUGAAUUGUGUUUUUCAUUGAUGUUAUGAUAUGGUUUCCAAGCUUGGAAGCUAGGGUUUCUCUUGGCCAUGGCAACCUCCCAAACUCCGAGUUGGCGGGAGGGUAUGUCCUCUGAUAAUAUUAAGGGAUUGGUUCUUGCUCUUUCCUCUAGUUUCUUUAUUGGUGCUAGCUUCAUUGUUAAGAAAAAGGGCUUGAAGAAAGCCGGCGCUUCAGGAGUCAGAGCAGGAGUUGGAGGCUAUUCUUACUUAUACGAGCCACUAUGGUGGGUGGGCAUGAUUACAAUGAUUGUAGGAGAAAUUGCUAAUUUUGCGGCUUAUGCAUUUGCUCCAGCGUUACUGGUUACUCCACUUGGUGCUCUCAGCAUAAUUAUCAGUGCAGUACUUGCACAUAUUAUUUUGCGGGAGAGGUUGCAUAUUUUUGGAAUUCUUGGAUGCGUUCUUUGUGUAGUGGGUUCCACAACCAUUGUGCUCCAUGCUCCUCAAGAACGUGAAAUUGAAUCUGUAACUGAAGUGUGGCAAAUGGCCAUGGAGCCAGCCUUUCUGUUGUAUGCAGCAUCGGUCAUGACAACUGUGUUUAUACUUAUAUUCCACUUUAUACCACAAUAUGGCCAGACUCACAUUAUGGUUUACAUUGGUGUAUGUUCCCUUGUAGGAUCUUUGUCGGUCAUGAGUGUCAAAGCAAUAGGAAUUGCCUUGAAGCUAACAUUGUCAGGAAUGAACCAGCUAAUAUAUCCUCAAACGUGGAUAUUUACUUUAGUUGUGAUUACUUGUGUGCUCACCCAGAUGAAUUAUUUAAACAAGGUCGUUUCAAGAGUAGACCUUAAUACUCAAGAGGGAUCAAGACUAAGAGGAGAUUACUGUAGUAGUGUUGUGGUGAGUGUUGUGCUGCCAAAAUGAAGAAAAUUAGGGUCAUCUCUUCAUUCAACGUAAGUUAGUUCUUCCAGCUUGUUUUUGCUAUAAUGAGUUUGGAAUGAUGCGGGUUGUUCACAGUUAUAUGAAGGAAUUGGUACAGGGUUGGCGUCUACAUUGUUUAAGAACUUCCACCUCUUUUGAUCUCUCAUAACUGUUAAUCGCACUUGCACUUCCCCCACCUACCUUUUUUUUUAAUUUGUGCUUUUUGUUUGCUCUUGCCCUUUGUUUCUUGUGGUAUUGGGUUUUUGUAAGUUUCUUCAUCUCAGUGGAAGAGGAGUUUCAGUAUUUGGAAAAGACUUGUGGAAAGAGAUUUGGAACAGAGAGUGCCUAAAAAAAAGAUCUUCUUCAUUUGAUCCAUAUGCUGGAAAGGAGUCCACACGUAUGAAAGAGCACAUAAAUGUCAUCCAAACACCUUAAUUUCUCCUAUCUGGUGCUUCCUUGCAAAAAUGGGGGUGAAACUUUAGAUCACUCAUUCUCUAAAUGUGGUAUAAUGUGCAGAUUGACUAUCCUAAAGAUCUUUGGAAUUAAUGGUGCUUCCCAAGAAAUGUUAGGGGGAUUCUUAUUUUUCAGACUUUAUGCAGGAAUCCUUUUUGAGGCACUGGACACUUUUAAUACAGCUGUUGUGUCCCCAAUAUACUACGUUAUGUUCACAUCAUUUACCAUCUUGGCCAGCGUGAU